UGGAUCCAGACUUUGAUUAUGGCUCAGGACGAACGCUGGCGGCGCGCCUAACACAUGCAAGUCGAACGAGCGAGAGAGAGCUUGCUUUCUCGAGCGAGUGGCGAACGGGUGAGUAACGCGUGAGGAACCUGCCUCAAAGGGGGGACAACAGUUGGAAACGACUGCUAAUACCGCAUAAGCCCACGGGUCGGCAUCGACCAGAGGGAAAAGGAGCAAUCCGCUUUGAGAUGGCCUCGCGUCCGAUUAGCUAGUUGGUGAGGUAACGGCCCACCAAGGCGACGAUCGGUAGCCGGACUGAGAGGUUGAACGGCCACAUUGGGACUGAGACACGGCCCAGACUCCUACGGGAGGCAGCAGUGGGGAAUAUUGCACAAUGGGGGAAACCCUGAUGCAGCGACGCCGCGUGGAGGAAGAAGGUCUUCGGAUUGUAAACUCCUGUUGUUGGGGAAGAUAAUGACGGUACCCAACAAGGAAGUGACGGCUAACUACGUGCCAGCAGCCGCGGUAAAACGUAGGUCACAAGCGUUGUCCGGAAUUACUGGGUGUAAAGGGAGCGCAGGCGGGAAGACAAGUUGGAAGUGAAAUCUAUGGGCUCAACCCAUAAACUGCUUUCAAAACUGUUUUUCUUGAGUAGUGCAGAGGUAGGCGGAAUUCCCGGUGUAGCGGUGGAAUGCGUAGAUAUCGGGAGGAACACCAGUGGCGAAGGCGGCCUACUGGGCACCAACUGACGCUGAGGCUCGAAAGUGUGGGUAGCAAACAGGAUUAGAUACCCUGGUAGUCCACACCGUAAACGAUGAUUACUAGGUGUUGGAGGAUUGACCCCUUCAGUGCCGCAGUUAACACAAUAAGUAAUCCACCUGGGGAGUACGACCGCAAGGUUGCAACUCAAAGGAAUUGACGGA
rnacentral:rRNA from 1 species